AUACGUAGGUGGCAAGCGUCGUCCGGAUUUACUGGGUGUAAAGGGCGCGUAGGCGGGCAGGCAAGUCAGAUGUGAAAUCUCCGGGCUCAACCCGGAAAUUGCAUUUGAAACUGCAGGUCUUGAGUAUCGGAGAGGCAAGCGGAAUUCCUAGUGUAGCGGUGAAAUGCGUAGAUAUUAGGAGGAACACCAGUGGCGAAGGCGACUUUCUGGACUGUACCUGACGCUGAUGCGCGAAAGCGUGGGUAGCGAACGGGAUUAGAUACCCCGGUAGUCCACGCUGUAAACGAUGAAUACUAGGUGUAGGAGGUAUCGACCCCUUCUGUGCCGCAGUUAACACAAUAAGUAUUCCGCCUGGGGAGUACGAUCGCAAGAUUGAAACUCAAAUGAAUUGACGG
rnacentral:rRNA from 1 species